rnacentral:rRNA from 1 species
GACGGAGGGUGCAAGCGUUGUUCGGAUUGACUGGGCGUAAAGCGCACGUAGGCGGCUUCUUAAGUCGGAGGUGAAAUCCUGGAGCUCAACUCCAGAACUGCCUUCGAUACUGGGAAGCUCGAGUCCGGGAGAGGUGAGUGGAACUGCGAGUGUAGAGGUGAAAUUCGUAGAUAUUCGCAAGAACACCAGUGGCGAAGGCGGCUCACUGGCCCGGUACUGACGCUGAGGUGCGAAAGCGUGGGGAGCAAACAGG